UCGGGCGACAACAACAACACACUCGCACAUAAACACCACAACAAACAGCAAUAUAGUGAAAUCCGCCUCGAUUCCCCACUUUUUAUUCUUAUGCACCGUCUCGUGUUCCAGCACCACCCCCAUAUCUGUCUCACAACCCUCCGCCUAAACCCAGUUCUUCUCUCUUUCCCGGCUCAGCGGUCAGCACUGUGGCCUCAUAGCAUAGGUCCCUCCCGAGUGGAGUUUGUUCUCUGCCAGGAACCACUGGGGAUGAUGAAGCCAUAAGCUCAUCGAGACGUGUCCAACCUGAGUCUCAACCCCUGUGUUCCUAGCCGCUCCAGCCCCACCAUGACUCCAUGACUCCUCCCAAUGGAAUCACCUCCUAUUUUCAUCCCACCCUUCGACCCCUAAUCAGCCCACAGUACACGACCCUGAUCCUAUCAGUACCCAACAUUCUUCCAUAGUUUUACAAGCUUUUACCUUUGUUAGAUAGUGGA